GACGAACGCUGGCGGCGUGCUUAACACAUGCAAGUCGAACGAAAACCGACGGAGGCUUGCUUCUCUCGGUCUUCGUGGCGCAGGGGUGUGUAACGCGUAUUCAACCUGCCCUUCAGAGGGGGACAACCGUUGGAAACGACUGCUUAUACCGCAUUCGGUCUAACCGCGGCAUCGAGGAUAGAUGAAAGGUUUCCUCUACAGGUAAGCUAUCACUGAAGUAGGGGAUUGCGUGUGAUUAGCUAGCUGGAGGGGGAACGGGCCACCAAGGAGAAGAUUAGUAGCCGGGCUUGGAGGGAGAAUGGCCACAUUUGGACGGAGACACGGCCCAGGCUCCCUCGGGGGGGAGCAGUUGGGGAACUUCCGACAUUGAGGAAAGUCUGACGGCGCAAAGCCGCGGGAGGGAUGAAGGCCUUCGGGUUGGAAAGGUCCGUUUAUCGGGACGAAAGGGCUGCUUGCGAAUAGGGAGAAGGAUUGACGGUACCGGAAGAGAAAGCCACGGCUAACUACGUG
rnacentral:rRNA from 1 species